rnacentral:rRNA from 1 species
AGGCGUAGGUGGGUCGAUUUAAGUUACUGAUUUGUAAAGCAGGCGGCUUAACCGUCUGAUGUGGUUGGAAACUGAAUGACUUGAAUGGGUUGGCGGUAGCCGGAAUGGGUCAUGUAGCGGUGAAAUGCAUAGAUAUGACCCGGAACACCGAUUGCGAAGGCAGGCUACUAGGACUUGAUUGACACUGAGGCACGAGAGCAUGGGUAGCGAACAGGAUUAGAUACCCUAGU